rnacentral:misc_RNA from 1 species
GAUGAAGAACGUAGCGAAAUGCGAUACUUGGUGUGAAUUGCAGAAUCCCGUGAACCAUCGAGUCUUUGAACGCAAGUUGCGCCCGAAGCCACUAGGCCGAGGGCACGCCUGCCUGGGCGUCACACGCCGUUGCCCCCCCAUCUACUCCUUCGGGAUUGCGGGGGGGCGGAUGAUGGCCUCCUGUGCGCCUAGCCGCGCGGUUGGCAUAAAUACCAAGUCCUCGGCGACGCACGCCACGACAAUCGGUGGUUGCGAAACCUCGGUUGCCCGUCGUGUGCGUUCGUCGCGCAUCGAGGGCUCGAAAAAAUGCUCGGCUCCGGCUGGGCUUUCAACGCGACCCCAGGUCAGGCGGGGUUACCCGCUGAAUUUAAGCAUAUCAAAAGCGGAGGA